UGGGGAAUAUUGCACAAUGGGGGAAACCCUGAUGCAGCGACGCCGCGUGAGCGAAGAAGGCCUUCGGGUCGUAAAGCUCUUUUAUGAGGGAAGAUAAUGACGGUACCUCAAGAAAAAGCCCCGGCUAACUACGUGCCAGCAGCCGCGGUAAUACGUAUGGGGCGAGCGUUGUCCGGAAUUAUUGGGCGUAAAGGGUACGUAGGCGGUCUAUUAAGUCAGGUGUGAAAGCGUGAGGCUUAACCUCAUUAAGCACUUGAAACUGAUAGACUUGAGUGAAGGAGAGGAAAGUGGAAUUCCUAGUGUAGCGGUGAAAUGCGUAGAUAUUAGGAGGAAUACCGGUGGCGAAGGCGACUUUCUGGACUUUUACUGACGCUCAGGUACGAAAGCGUGGGGAGCAAACAGG
rnacentral:rRNA from 1 species